GGCGGAAUAGCUCAGUUGGUCGAGCGGCGCAUUCGUAAUGCGUAGGUCGUAGGUUCGAUUGCUAUUUCCGGCACCA
rnacentral:tRNA from 1 species